UGUGCUUUCAUCAUAUUUUAUUUAUGGCAAUGUAUUGUUUUUAGAUGUCUAUAAUUUGCUUUUAUUCUUCCCGUGUAUCUUCCUAGUUUGAAUAGAUUCCUUCUUUUCUCUCCUUUGUCAGUUUUUUCAAUCAGAUUGCUCAAUGCCAAGACAAAGAGCUCUUUGAUCAUGGGCUAGAAAAAAGGGUUAAAGGAUGGUUUAGAACCAAUUCAAGAAAGAAUGAUCCUGUUCCCACUUGGAGGAGGACAGAGGAGCUGAAACCGAUGGGGCUGUGGAGCUUGGAGAGGAAAUUAUGUCACUUCCUCUAGGAAAACUCGAUCCUUUUCAUCACAACUAGUUUCCUCGUGUUUGUUGUGCCCCAGGGUGUACAGAUCUCUGGGAUGCCAGACAAAAAGACCACUUGAAAUGCUGUUGUCACCGAAGCCUCCUUUGAUCAAGGCACCAUGAGCAUGUGUCACAACAGGGGAGCAUCCUCGGGCAAAACCAGCUAUUCAGCCAAGGAGUAAAGAACUCAGCCUUCCCCAGAGAGAAGUUUGGCCUCUGACCUUGUUUCCUGAGAGGGACACAUAGGGAGAAGAAUUACUUAGUCUGACUGAUCACCAAGCAAGAACCUGCAAAUCCUCCUGCAUUGUUGUGAAGUCCAUCAGUCUCAACCUCAGCCUGUGGCUGUUGGUCAUUAUGCCACUGUCUUGCACCUUGGCUUGCAAUCAGCACCUUAGGGCGCUCAGUAUGGAUGAGGAACUGGGUUACUUUGGACAAGUCAGUCUCUUAUGACUUCUGUUUCUUUGGAGGACCCUGACUAAUACAGGGGUGUAGACUCCUAAGCAUCAUCUCAAGGUUAUUGUUGAAGGUGAGCUGGAUCUAGCCUACUGAACUAGUAGAGUGGAAGAGAAAAGAAAAAUAGAAUGUCUGGGGUAGAAACAACAUAUAGAAAGAAUGCUUUUCUAUUUCCCUUAACAUCCCUUGUCUAUUCCAGUCAUUCUGCUUGUGUGAAGAUGAUUUAUUAGGAAUAUAUUAUUCCCAAUAUGCUCCCAGUAGAUUGUUUUUUCAUGUUCUGGAAAGGCUGUAUUCUCU